rnacentral:rRNA from 1 species
AUUAGUUUAAUCCUAGCUAUAUAGUUACUUGCCGCCCCUACCCUAUGGAAUUUUAAGAGUGCAAGAAACAAGGCUAGUUAAAGAGAGAUACUAGAAGUUGUAGCUAAAUUCCCAGCGGAGAUAUUUAUGAAAACUAGCUGAGCUAGAUAUAGGGGGGAGUUGACUAACUAUGUGCCAGCAGUCGCGGUUAGACCUAGGACUAUUAACUUUAGUUUACAGAGGAGUUUUAAGUAGCUAACAUCUUAAGUGGAGAUAAAAUCCGCACUUAGGGCUGUUGCCGAGGAUAAGCUCUAAAAUCUAAAUCUGAAACAGGGAUUAGAUACCCCUCUAUCUUUAGAUACUUACCUAUGGAGGUAGUAGUAGCUAUGAUCUUGAAACCUAAAGGAUUUGGCGGUAUCUGUUCAGAUCAGAGGAACCUGUUGCGUAAUCGUCGGUACUCGACUAUCUUACCUUAAGUCUGUUAGUAUACCGUCAUCUAGGCUCUCUCCACAGAGAAUGUCUUAAUAGCGCCGGCUAGAAUGUUAGAUCAAGGUGCUGCGAAUCUUAAGGGGUUAAUUGGUUACAAUUUAUCACACAGUGGAUAACAGUUGAAUAAUUGUUUAAAAAUGGAUUUGACAGUAUCAGAGGUUUAAUAACCCCCUGAGAAGCUGCUCUUAGAUAUGUACAUAUCGCCCGUCACUCUCAUAUCGAGAUAAGUCGUAACAUAGUAGAGGUACCGGAAGGUGUCUCUUUCCUAAGGGUU